UACGAAGGGGGCUAGCGUUGCUCGGAAUCACUGGGCGUAAAGGGUGCGUAGGCGGGUUUUUAAGUCGGGGGUGAAAUCCUGGAGCUCAACUCCAGAACUGCCUUCGAUACUGUAGAGCUUGAGUUCGGGAGAGGUGAGUGGAACUGCGAGUGUAGAGGUGAAAUUCGUAGAUAUUCGCAAGAACACCAGUGGCGAAGGCGGCUCACUGGCCCGAUACUGACGCUGAGGUGCGAAAGCGUGGGGAGCAAACAGG
rnacentral:rRNA from 1 species